GACGAACGCUGGCGGCGUGCUUAACACAUGCAAGUCGAACGGAAAGGCCCCCACUUUUUUGGUGGGGGUGCUCGAGUGGCGAACGGGUGAGUAACACGUGGGUGAUCUGCCCUGUACUUCGGGAUAAGCUUGGGAAACUGGGUCUAAUACCGGAUAGGACCAUGGUUUAGUGUCUCAUGGUGGAAAAAUUAUUGUUUUGGUGCAGGAUGAGCUCGCGGCCUAUCAGCUUGUUGGUGGGGUAAUGGCCUACCAAGGCGUCGACGGGAAGCCGGCCUGAGAGGGUGGCCGGCCACAUUGGGACUGAGAUACGGCCCAGACUCCUACGGGAGGCAGCAGUGGGGAAUAUUGCACAAUGGGAGCAAGCCUGAUGCAGCGACGCCGCGUGGGGGAUGACGGCCUUCGGGUUGUAAACUCCUUUCGUUAGGGACGAAGCCGCACCUUUUUUGGGUGUGGUGACGGUACCUUUGUUAAGAAGCACCGGCUAACUACGUG
rnacentral:rRNA from 1 species